AGUGAACGCUGGCGGUAGGCCUAACACAUGCAAGUCGAACGGCAGCACAGUAAGAGCUUGCUCUUACGGGUGGCGAGUGGCGGACGGGUGAGGAAUACAUCGGAAUCUACUUUUUCGUGGGUGAUAACGUAGGGAAACUUACGCUAAUACCGCAUACGACCUACGGGUGAAAUCAGGGGAUCUUCGGACCUUGCGCGAUUGUAUGAGCCGAUGUCGGAUUAGCUAGUUGGCGGGGUAAAGGCCCACCAAGGCGACGAUCCGUAGCUGGUCUGAGAGGAUGAUCAGCCACACUGGAACUGAGACACGGUCCAGACUCCUACGGGAGGCAGCAGUGGGGAAUAUUGGACAAUGGGCGAAAGCCUGAUCCAGCCAUACCGCGUGGGUGAAGAAGGCCUUCGGGUUGUAAAGCCCUUUUGUUGGGAAAGAAAAGCAGCAGGUUAAUACCCCGCUGUUCUGACGGUACCCAAAGAAUAAGCACCGGCUAACUUCGUG
rnacentral:rRNA from 1 species